CUCUCUUUUUCUCUCCCGCUCCCCCUCAGUCCGUUUCCUGCCACAGACAGAGCCAGAUCACGCACUUUUCUGCACAAGCGUCUCCUCCUUCAUUCAGUACCUGUUCCGUGGGAUUAACAUGACUUAAAAUUCAAUCAGCCUACAGCCUGACGGAGGAGCGACAGCGGAGGCAGACAGAGCGCUGCAGCUGUCGGGACCGAGCGAGGGGGAUAGAAGUGUGCGAUAGAGAGAGAGAGAGAGAGAGAGAGAGAAAGAGAUGGGUGUUUUUCCACGGAGCAGAGAUCGACAGCGAGCCGCGCAGAUAGGGAGACGUGACGGCUGAGUAUCGAUGGAGUGAUCCGCAAAACAAGGUUUCUGGCCAUCCCUCCAUCUCGCCGGCUCACUCUUCCAUACCUCCCCUCUCUGCACCUCCCUUCCAAGGUCAUCCCUGAACAACUAAUUCUAUGUGGGAGGACAAAGACGGCUUGCAUCGUGACCGACAGUGACACGCCCUGGAAAUUACUCCGGGAAGUGAGGGAUGAGUGAGAGAGAAAAAGAGAGCGAGAGAGAGAGGAUGGGGAGGAAAAAAAACGGUGCGAAAGAAUGAGGAACGCCAGACAGCUAGAUGAAGAAAUAAGAAGAGAUCGAGCUGUGUGAUU